UUUAUAUUGGCAGAUUAGUGCAUUGAAUUUAGAAUUCAAAUAAAUAGUUUAUACUAUAUAUAAUA
rnacentral:tRNA from 1 species